rnacentral:rRNA from 1 species
UACAGAGGGGGCCAGCGUUAUUCGGAAUUAUUGGGCGUAAAGGGCGCGUAGGCGGCUUUGCGUGUCUUUCGUGAAAUCCCUCGGCUCAACUGAGGACGUGCGGAAGAAACUGCAGGGCUGGAGUCCGGGAGAGGAGGGUGGAAUUCCCAGUGUAGCGGUGAAAUGCGCAGAUAUCAGGAAGAACACCCGUGGCGAAAGCGGCUCUCUGGAACGGUACUGACGCUGAGACGCGAAAGCGUGGGGAGCGAACAGG